rnacentral:rRNA from 1 species
CCUACGGGCGGCAGCAGUGGGGACUUUUGGGCAAUGGGCGCAAGCCUGACCCAGCAACGCCGCGUGAAGGAAGACGGCUUUCGGGUUGUAAACUUCUUUUGUCCGGGAAGAGUAGAAGACGGUACCUGACGAAUAAGCCACGGCUAACUACGUGCCAGCGGCCGCGGUGAUACGUAGGUGGCCAGCGUUGUCCGGAUUUACUGGGUGUAAAGGGCGUGUAGCCGGGUUGACAAGUCAGAUGUGCAAUCCUGCGGCUUAACCGCAGAACUGCAUUUGGAACUGUUGAGCUUGAGUACUGGAGAGGCAGAUGGAAUUCCUAGUGUAGCGGUGAAAUGCGUAGAUAGUAGGAGGAACACCAGUGGCGAAGGCGGGCUGCGGGACAGCAACUGACGGGGAGGCGCGAAAGCGUGGGGAGCAAACAGGAUUAGAUACCCGAGUAGUC